GGCAAGAGACACAGGAUUAUGACCUGUGAAUCAAAGACAAACGCUCACCAAAAUAAUCAACCCUCCCAGGAGCCUUGUACAGCCCAGGAGGAAGAUGCGGAUCCUUAACUCAGUCUGCAACCAGAAUCUUGACAGUCCUGAAAAUGGAAAAGCGUCUGGAGUUUUGGGUACUCCCAAUGCCCCAAUUAUCCUUUUAUUACCCUGAUUUACAACAUAACUUCAUAGGAGACGUUCUGAUGAGCAAAAUGACUUGGGUAACAAAAUGAUCUGGCAAAACCAGCAACUAAGAAAGAAAAAGAAUGGAUUUUCCAGUCUCUUUGACCCCUGAGAUCUCAAAGCCCCUGUGAAGAUCGAUCAGUUGGCAUGGCUGGAUUCAGACUUCCCAGGCCAAGAGGACUUGAAGAAAUGAUCAGAUGAAUCUCAGAAACUCAGAGUUUGAAUAAUAGUUGUCGGUUAUUGCACACUUGCUGUGUGCCAGGCAUGGUGCUCACUGCUGCCCAUGGAUCAUUUCACCUAAUUUCAUCUACCAGCCUGAUAUCUGCACAUGUGAGAACCUGAGACGUAGGGAGUUUGCACGGCUUUAGCUUUCGCAGAAGGAGUAACACAGGGUCAUACCAACUUACUCCAGUUACCAAUUCUGUGACCUCAGGCAAGGACACAAGAAGAUGGCUGUCUACAAGCCAGGAAAAGAUUCUGCACCAGGAACUGGAUCAACUGGCACCUUGAUCUUGGACUUCCCAGCCUCCAGAACUAUGAGAUGAGAAAUAAGUGUCUAUUGUUUAAGCCUCCCAGUCUAUGGUAUUUUGUUAUAGCAACCCAAGAUGACAAAGACAACAAGCCUAAAAUGAAAAAUGGCAAAGUAACCAAGAUGUCCUUCAAGAGGGAAGGACACAUGGAUGGUGACAUGUGGAAGAAGUUACUUAUCCUAACCAGAUGCCCAACACUGAUGAUGUCAUUGAAAUGGAGGAAGACGGAAGCCCACCAAAUCAGGCUGUUUGUUGUCCAAAAAGCCUUUUUCCCUAAGCUUGAAAGCUUAACUUCUCAGAAGCAGGAAGCUGCCUUUUGCCAAGAGUAAAUGGGUGAGAAGUCCAAAGGUCUUGGUUUUGAAGUAUGUGCAACGAAUGUUCAAACAGGUUCUGAACAGAGCCAAAUCUACUUUUCUAUCUCCAAGAAAUCUCGAGAGAGCCAUGGGGCGGAAGUUUCAAGGAACAACGUCUCGUCCCAAACCGCAUGAAAUUGCAUUCCAAUCAGAAGCAUGGCCAAACCCACCAGAACGCAAAACGCAGGGAUGGAAGGACACUGACGACGAUGACCUUGUGAAAUGAGAGAAUUGUCUUGAAAGGGAGCGUUGUUACGGAAGAUGCUGAUUUCGGCAUUCCCUGUCUGAAGUGCUAACUAACCUCAUUGGGUUUUUGCUCUGCACCAGGUACUGAUAUCUAUACUUUUCCUGUGUAUUCACUUACUUGAUACCUGAUGGAGGAGGUAUUUUUCAGAGGAGAAAACUGAGUCAUGGACAAAGUCAGUGACGUGCCCGAGAUCGUUCAUCUAAGAUGUUGCAGAGCUGGGACUUGAACCUAGUUUGUCUGCCUCUGGGAUCUGAGCUGGUAAACAUCACAUGGCACUUUGUGGCUCGUUUGUGACUGGUCCGUCCAUUGGUGGAAAAUGGUUAGAAGUCCUACUCUGUGCCCCUCUGUGUGCCAGUACUUGGAGAUACUUCCUCCAGAUACUUCCCCAUGAAACUUAAUCUGGUGGUGGAAGACAAACAUAAAACAAAUAAUUGAUUUGAGCUCUGAGAAGUGCCACAAAGGCAACGCACAGGUAUAAUGAUGGGGGAGGGAGGGGUGGCACUUGGUCUGGGAAGUAGGGGAAAACUGUCUCUGUAAGGGACAUUUUAUCUCAGACCGGAAGACUGUUGUUAUGGGUUCAAUUCCAUCCUCUUCUCCCCAGCAUUCAUUUGUCAAAGUCCUAGCCCCUAGACCUCAGAAUGUGACCUUAUUUGGAAAUAGUGUUGUUGCUGAUGUAAUUAGUUAAGAUGAGGUUAGAGUAGAGUAGGAUGGGCCCCUGCUAUAAUAUGACUGGUAUCUUUAUAAAAAGGGGAAAUUUAGAGACAGACACACACACACAGGGAGAAGGACAUGAGAACAGGAGGCAGAGAUGAGGCUGGUAUUUCCACAAGCCAAGGAGUGCCAAAAACUGCCAGCAAAUCACCUUCAAAAGGAGCAUGACAUCUUGAUCUUGGACUUUCACAUUCCAGAACUGUGUUUUUAUCCACUCCCAUUGUGGUACCUUGUCAUGGCAGCCCUAGCAAACGAAUGCAGAGGGGAAGGUGCCAGUCAGGUGAGGAGGGAGUGGAGAGUAGGAGAGAGGGAAAAAGAAACAAAACCCAGGAAGAAGAGCUAGCAUGUGCAAAAUCCCCAACGGAGGAAGGAGCGUGACACAUUUGGGAAGGUGGAACCAGGGAGAGGGGAGGGUGGAAGAUGAAGCAGGUGGAACCAGAUUCUGGCGUCUCUAAUACACAACGUGGCAUUUCUAUGAAGGACGAUGUGAAACCAGUGAAGGGUUUUAACCAAGGGGCAACCAUAAUUGGAUCUGAAUUUUAAUAUCAUUGUUCUGUUGCUGUGUGGAAACUGAAUUUUGGGGGUGGUAGGAAAGAAUAAAUGUAGAACAGUUUAGAACCUAUUGUGUUUGUGCCCAGGAGUUUCAGCCGAAUUCUUCAGAUUGGUUAUUCUUCCAAACAGGCCAUUUUCCUCAAGCCAUUUCCCUACUCAGUACUCAGACACAUUCAUUGUUUACAGUGUACCAGGCUCUGAAACUGUGCUAUCCAAUAUGGUAGCCACUGGCCACGUGUGGCUCAUUUAAAUUAAAAUUAAAGACCAGUUGCUCUGUCUCACUGAGACGUGCCUAUGUGCUCCCUAGCCACAUCAUUCACUGAAAGUUCUGUUAGACAGCUCUGGUCUAGGGAAACACAGAGGAACAGGGCAUCAUCCCGUCCUUGUUUUUAGAGCAGUGAAAGAACUCGAGACAACUGGAUUUCGUAGACCAGCAAGAACUUUUUUUGUUUUUAAGUAUACUUUAAGUUUUAGGGUACAUGUGCACAAUGUGCAGGUUUGUUACAUAUGUAUACAUGUGCCAUGUUGGUGUGCUGCACCCAUUAACUCGUCAUUUACAUUAGGUACAUCUCCUAAUGCUACCCCUCCCCCGUCCCCCCACCCCACAACAGGCCCCGGUGUGUGAUGUUCCCCUUCCUGUGUCCAUGUGUUCUCAUUGUUCAAUUCCCACCUAUGAGUGAGAACAUGCGGUGUUUGGUUUUUUGUCCUAGACCAGCAAGAACUUUUAUAAAUACACUGAGAAAAUGAAAAGGCAAUUCACAGAGCUGGAAAAAUAUCUGCACUGCCUAUGACUGGUACGGGGUUCUGUGAAUAAUAUUUUAAGAUCUCCCAAAAUCAGAAAAUGAGAGAACAGUUCAGUAGAAAAAUGCAAGAGACUUGAACAGGGAUUUUCCAAAGGGGAACAUCUGAAUGGUUAAUAAAUAGAUGAAAAGGUACUCAAUCCUAUCAGGAGUCAGAGAAAUGCCCAUUAAAGCUGCAAUAAGAUGCUACCCACACACACCAGAAUGGCUUAGAUGGAAAAGACGAACAAUAUCAGACUAAGGACAUGCACCAGAGUUUCUAGGAUUAAAAGACUAUCCAUACUAAGUGUUGGCAAGGAUGUGGAGUGACUCAAACUCUCACAAGUGUUGGUGAGAGUGUAAUUGGCACAACCUCUUUGGAAAGCAGUUUGGUGUUCUCCACUAAAGACAGGGCGGCUUUAUGAUUUAUUGUCCAAACAAGCUCAUUUUCAGGAAUGAAAGGGGGAAGUGUUCACUGAUUCCAUAGGCAUUGAUUGGGAGAGUCCUUGAACAUACAAUUAACCUAAUCAAAAUAGAUAUUCAUGUGUGUGAUCCAGCAAAUCCACACCUAGGUGUGUAUGUGCAUGUAUAUAUCCAACAGAAAUGUGUGCACAAGUGACAAAAUGUUCUCAGUGGCACUUUUGUAGCAGCUCCAAACUGGCAGCAACCAGAAUGCCCUUCAUGCAGUGCAAUACCGUGCAUCAUCAAAAAUGAAUUGAUCUGUGUGAAAUACGACAACAGGGAGGAAUGUUAGAAAUAUAUUGGGGCCAGGUACAGCGGCUCAUGCCUGUAAUUCCAGCACUGUGGGAGGCCGAGGUGGGCAGAUCGCUUGAGGCCAGGAGUUCGAGACUAGCCUGGGCAACAUGGAAAAACCCUGUCUCUACAAAAAAUACAAAAAUUAGCCACGUGUGGUGGCAUGCAUCUGUGGGCCCAGCUACUUAGGAGUCUGAGGUGGGAGGAUCACCUGAGCCUGGGAGGCAGAGGGUGCAAUGAGCCAAAAUCACAUCACUGCACUCCAGCCUGGGCAAUGGAGUGAGAUCCUGUCGAAAGAAAGAACGAAAGAAAGAAUGAACGAAGGAACGAAAGGAAGGAAGGAAGGAAGAAAGGAAGGAAGGAAGGAAAGGGGAAAGAAAGAAAAAAAAGAAAAGAAAAAUGUUGGACAGAAACACCCAUGUAUGAAAGAGUAUAUCACUUACAAUCCAUUUGGAAUAGAAAACUAAAGGCAGGACUUUGUGUUGGAAAUCAGGGUGGUGUUUUCCUUUGGGGAGGGGGAAGGGGAUGAUGAGAAGUGCUAGCAGAGGGGCUUCUGAGGUGCUGGCAGUAUUUUAUUUUUUGACCUAAAUUGUGGUUACACAGGUAUUCAUUUUGUGAUAGUUCAGCUGUACAGCUAUAUUUUGUGCUCUUUUCUGUAUAUGUGCUAUAUUUCACAAGUAAAAAUCAAUGCAAAGCUAUUAUCUGGGCUUGUCAUAGAGUUGUCAGGUUUUUAUUUCACCUAAUAAGUACAUCUAAUAGAAUAAUGGCUACCUUCCUUUAAAUUCAUCACUUCAUAGGAGAUAAAAAAUUCAACAUCAAAGCAGAAGGGAUAUAAUUUUAAAAUUAAGAACAGAGCUAUAAAAUAAAUUUCUCAUUUUGAAAAACUGACUAGACUGAUGAUGUAACUUUGAUCAUUUCACAGGGAGCCAGUGGAAACGUUUCCACAGACCCAUUUUUGGAAACCUUUGGUUUAGUGGGGUCCCAUCAUCAGUUAUACAAGGCUGCCAAAGUCUCUUCUUUGAAACUAAAGAGGUCUUUUAAAAUAAGCUAGGGAAGUGCAGCGAUUAAACAAGGUCUAGUAGGUUUCCUUGCUGCAGGACUUAUCAGAGCCUUUACCAUACAAAGAUGCACUGUGACUCUCUAGGAGAUGGAUAAAUAAUGGGGCAUUUCCCAACCUCAUUUGCUAACAGAACCAUGUUUCUGUUGAACCAUUUCUAGGGACACGUGGCCAAAGGGACAUACUUUGGGGACCCUAAGCCUAUAGCAGGGGUCAGCAAGCCAAGGUCUAUAGUCUGGAUGCCUGUUUUUAUAAAUAAAGUUUUGUUGGAUCGCA